UACGAAGGGGGCUAGCGUUGCUCGGAUUGACUGGGCGUAAAGCGCGUGUAGGUGGAUUGGUGUGUCAGAUGUGAAAUCCCUGGGCUCAACCCAGGAACUGCACCUGAAACUACCAGUCUUGAGUGGUGGAGAGGGAAGUGGAAUUCCUGGUGUAGAGGUGAAAUUCGUAGAUAUCAGGAGGAACACCAGUGGCGAAGGCGGCUUCCUGGACACCAACUGACGCUGAGACGCGAAAGCGUGGGGAGCAAACAGG
rnacentral:rRNA from 1 species